AAUCAACGCUGGCGGCGUGCCUCAGACAUGCAAGUCGAACGAUUAAGACUUCCUUCGGGAAGUGUAUAAAGUGGCGCACGGGUGAGUAACACGUAAGUAAUCUGCCUUCGAGUGGGGAAGUACCUUCGGGAAACCGGAACGAUAAUACCGCAUAAUGCAGCGGCACCGCAAGGUGACAGUUGUUAAAGGAGCAAUCCGCUUGAGAGGAGCUUGCGGCAGAUUAGCAGUUGGUAAGGUAACGGCUUACCAAGGCUACGAUCUGUAUCCGGUCUAAGAGGACGGUCGGACACACUGACACUGAAUAACGGGUCAGACUCCUAC
rnacentral:rRNA from 1 species